rnacentral:tRNA from 1 species
GGUCAUGGCUCAGGGGUAGAUCACUUGCCUAGCAUGUGUGAGGCACUGGGUUCAAUUCUCAGCACCA